rnacentral:misc_RNA from 1 species
GAUGAAGAACGCAGCGAAAUGCGAUAAGUAAUGUGAAUUGCAGAAUUCAGUGAAUCAUCGAAUCUUUGAACGCACCUUGCGCUCCUUGGUAUUCCGAGGAGCAUGCCUGUUUGAGUGUCAUUAAUAUAUCAACCUCUUCAGCUUAUGCUUGUUGAGUGUUGGAUGGUGGGGGUUUGCUGGUGUCUUAUGAAGUCAGCUCCUCUGAAAUGCAUUAGCGGAACAAUUUGUUGACCGUUCAUUGGUGUGAUAAAAAUAUCUACGCUAUUGACGUCAGUCAGUUCAGCUUCUAACAGUCCAUUGACUUUGACAAAUUUUUCAUUAAUGUGACCUCAAAUCAGGUAGGACUACCCGCUGAACUUAAGCAUAUCAAUAAGCGGAGGA